AACCUUAUGGACCUGCGGGCGUAUACCUGCGGAAGGAUCAUUACCGAGUUUACAACUCCCAAACCCCUGUGAACAUACCAAUUGUUGCCUCGGCGGAUCAGCCCGCUCCCGGUAAAACGGGACGGCCCGCCAGAGGACCCCUAAACUCUGUUUCUAUAUGUAACUUCUGAGUAAAACCAUAAAUAAAUCAAAACUUUUAGCAAUGGAUCU
rnacentral:misc_RNA from 1 species